AUUGAACGCUGGCGGCAGGCCUAACACAUGCAAGUCGAGCGAGCGGCGGACGGGUGAGUAAUGUCUGGGAAACUGCCUGAUGGAGGGGGAUAACUACUGGAAACGGUAGCUAAUACAGCAUACCAUCAGAUGUGCCCAGAGGGGCUUAGCUAGUAGGUGGGGUAACGGCUCACCUAGGCGACGAUCCCUAUCUGGUCUGAGAGGAUGACCAGCAACACUGGAACUGAGACACGGGCCAGACGCCUACGGGAGGCAGCAGGGGGGAAGAUGGCACAAUGGGCGCAAGCCUGAUGCAGCCAUGCCGCGUGUGUGAAGAAGGCCUUCGGGUUGUAAAGCACUUUCAGCGGGGAGGCGUUACCCGCAGAAGAAGCACCGGCUAACUCCGUGCCAGCCGCCGCGGUAAUAC
rnacentral:rRNA from 1 species